rnacentral:rRNA from 1 species
CCUACGGGAGGCAGCAGUGGGGAAUAUUGCACAAUGGGGGAAACCCUGAUGCAGCGACGCCGCGUGAGUGAAGAAGUAAUUCGUUAUGUAAAGCUCUAUCAGCAGGGAAGAAAAUGACGGUAUCUGUGUAAGAAGCCCUGGCCAACUACGUGCAAGCAGCCGCGGGAAUACGUAGGGGGAAAGCGUUAUCCGGAUUUACUGGGUGUAAAGGGAGCGUAGACGGCAGUGCGAGUCUGGAGUGAAAGGCGGGGGUUCAACCCGCGGACUGCUCUGGAUACUGUACGGCUGGAGUGCAGGAGAGGUAAGUAGAAUUCCUGGUGUAGCGGUGAAAUGCGUAGAUAUGAGGAGGAACACCAGUGGCGAAGGCGGCUUACUGGAC